CAAAGAAAGGGCUGUAACCACUA
rnacentral:piRNA from 1 species